rnacentral:rRNA from 1 species
AUGAUGAGAAGGAAAAAAAUUAAGAAGGAAAACACAGAUAAAGCUAAGCGCCAUGUAUGGAAAUCUUCAGAGGACAAAAUACUGCUGAAUAUAUUAAAAGAUCAAAGCCUACAUGGAGGAAAAGAAGGAACGGGUUACACAAAGAAAGCAUGGCAUGAUAUCUUAGAACAAUUCAAUGAUUCAUGGGUAGAAAAACUUGAAUUACAACAACUGAAAAAUUGUCAUAAGUACUACAGGAGUUGCUACAGCACCAUGGACAGACUUCUAAAACUCACGGGAUUUGGUUGGGAUGACGAUGAGAAAAUGAUAAAAGCUCCAGAAGAUAUUUGGGAAGAACUAAUUAAGAAGGAUAAGGCUAUCCAAGAAUAUCAAGAUAAGGUGUGGCCUAGUUGGAUAGAUCUUCAAGCCAUAUGUGCUAGUUCAACAGCAUCUGGAGCUGGUGCUGUACUAGCAAAGGAAAAGAUGGUACAUGUACGACCAAAUCUUCGCAAAUUGAUCUCAAUACGGAAGUUGAAGUACAUGACAUUGAUUCUGAUGAAAUCAAUGCUUCCCCUGGUGUCUUCACCAAGAAGUCAACUACCAUUGAGCCAGAAAAAAGAAGUCCCCUGGAAGUGGAUCCAAGGAAACUGCAAGAGGACAAAAACGGACAGCCGAUGA